CUUGACCUCAAAUCAGGUAGGACUACCCGCUG
rnacentral:rRNA from 2 species